rnacentral:tRNA from 1 species
CGGGGGAUAUAUUAAUUGGAAGAUUAUCUAUUUUGGGUGUAGAAGGUUCGGGUUCGAAUCCCGCUCCCCUGA